rnacentral:rRNA from 1 species
UACAGAGGUCCCAAGCGUUGUUCGGAUUCACUGGGCGUAAAGGGUGCGUAGGCGGCCAAGUAAGUUUGAUGUGAAAUCCCGCAGCUCAACUGUGGAACUGCAUUGAAUACUAUUUGGCUCGAGGAAUGGAGGGGAGACUGGAAUUCUCGGUGUAGCAGUGAAAUGCGUAGAUAUCGAGAGGAACACCAGUGGCGAAGGCGAGUCUCUGGACAUUUCCUGACGCUCAGGCACGAAAGCCAGGGGAGCAAACGGG